CUUGGAAACCAUUCCAUACAUCUCUUACCAUAGAAGAUUUAACAUGACAGUGGAACUGUGGAAGCAGUUUAUUUUUUUGGAUGUGUUUCUCUUUGCCAUCUUUCAGUUAGAAUUGCACAAUUGUGAGUUCUCAUGCCUUCACUGAUGAAGAUAGAAACGUGUGUCCUUAAUACUAGAUCUCUGGAUACUGUUAACAUGAAAUAUAAGGUGAUGGGAUUUCUUUUGUAGAGAGACGAAGGAAUAAAGCUUGUGUCUGAGGCGAUUUGCUCUGUAAUUUUCAAUGACUUGGGAAGUGGUAGCAAUGUUGACGUCUACGUAAUAACCAAGGGCCGCACUGAGUACUUGAGGUAACCACCAGUUGCCAAAUCCUCGGACCUCUGUCAGUUCAAGGGGCUAUUCCUUUACUAAGGGACAGACUGGUUAAAGUUAUGAAGGAGAGUGCAGCACCUAGAGCAGUGUAUGUACCCACCGCCACUGUCCGGAUGACACCUGCAAGCACAGAGCAGCAAUCCCUUGCGCCAGCAGCCCCGCCUUCAGCACCUGAGACCCCAACUCCUAGUGACAAAAAUGCCCCUGAAAGCAGCAAUAUUCGUGAGGAAGGUGACUUUGUAUUUCAUUCUAUUACUGACCAAUCAGCCCAUGAGCAAUGCUGAAUUCAGCUUAGGUGAUGAUUGUGGAAAUCAGUCCUCUACUUGUCAAUGAUCUGUAUUUUCUGGAAGAAUUAUGUUCAUGAUUGUUGUGGCCACAACAUUUCUUCAGUGGUCUCCGCCAAAACUUGUGGAUGUGACAAUGGUUGCAACUGGCAUCAUUAUGGGUCCAUAUGCUUUCACUUGCAGAAAUUGCUGCUAAAUGGAAGUGUACUUUAAGCUGAACAUUGUUAAAUACCCGUUGGAAGGUAUGCAAGGAUGAGUUCUACAUUAUGAAAGGUUGGCCGACCCAUUUUAUACUCUAUAUGUGAAUGGUACCUCUGUUGCUC